UGAAAAGAGCAGGUGUCCUUAAUGUUUUGUACACUCAGUGAAUAUGGAUAUACUAUCCUUUUCAAUGUUUUUGAUACAUGUAUAUUUCAAGGUGGCUGCAAACAUAUUUUACACCUUACAUGAUUCCUGUCUUUUCCUGCUCAUACAGACCGUAUACUCCCUGCAGACAUAUCACUUGCAGGCUCAAGAACUGUGAGAAAGGGAGAAGGUGUGGAGUUUAAGUGUACUAUUUCAGACCCCAGUUUUCAAACAAAAAAUACCAGUGACUUAGUUCACUCUUACCUCUGCAAGUAUGGCUCUGUUGUUCAGAUCCAGGUGUUUGACGUAAAGAGCACGGAGGCAACGUUUACGAUGAAACGUUUAUUAAAGAAUGACACAGGCAACUACAGUUGUGUGCUUGACCUGCAAUCAAAACCCCUCACAGAUAAAGACAAAAGAUUAUAUGGAAAUAAUGCAGUAUUUCUCUACAGGUUGAUGGUAAGAAUGUAUGGUGUUUCUCUAAAUACUUACAUAUUGAAAUAAUAUAAUCACUACAUACAUAUCUAGUUUUGUUAUUAGAAAAUCAUUGUUGAUGGUUCAUGGUUGCAGUACGUUGUUACUAUAGAAAUGAGAUCUAUAACAACAAGUUACAUGCCUGUUUUGCUUUCCAGUGUCCUGGAGUCACUUAAUCCCACUCGUGUACUGCGUCUGGAGUCACUUAAUCCCACUCGUGUACUGCGUCUGGAGUCACUUAAUCCCACUCGUGUACUGCGUCUGGAGUCACUUAAUCCCACUCGUGUACUGCGUCUGUUUUCUUCUGGUCUUAUCACUGAUAGUGGGCAUAUGGUGGCUGUUCAUUAAACAAGACGGAACGUCAAAUGUGGAGGAAGAAUCCAGUGAUGAAUUUGCCUUUGACAGUGUGGCCGGUGGGGAGGAGUCCCAGGAUGUUGGUGAUGAGAUUGAUACAAACCAUGACAUGGUGGAUGCCACGUACCAAGAAAUUCUGGUUGAAACACGGAAAAUUAAACACGUUAUAGCACGUAUUCGAGGUGAGUUCAAUAGUUUGAAAUAGUAAUAAUAGUAAGUUAGGUGUAUUUAUGGGGAUUUCCAUACGUCAGACAGAACGAGUCAGGUAUUGUUUCACGGUAUCUAGCGGACCAUGCAAAAUAUCUUGUCUCACUUUCUACGUCAAUGGUGUAAUUUCUGAUAGUUAGACACGUAAGUAGGUAGCAUAGGAAACCACAGAUGCAUUCAGUAACAUUCUUGCUAUUCUUUGUACUUCACAUAAAGCAACCCAAGAUAAGAAUGGUUUACAUCAUGAUCUGGGUAUAUAUCCUCUGUGCAGAGAAUACAGGCUUGAGACCUUCUCCUCAGAGCUGCAGUGUAUCAUGUGGUGUACACUCUUCAAUUUAGCAUUGCUUCUGUGGUAAACCUAUUUAGUCAUUGCCUUAAUGUCAUUGUCCUACCUCAUCUUGGAUCCUACAAUAUCCUGAAAACGGAAACAUUUCUGCUAUAAGACUGAACACACAGCUGUCAUCUAACGCGACAAAGGAUUUGUUGGACCGGAUAUAAUAUGUUGGGGACUUUUCAUCCACAGAUGCAGCAAAUCAAGGCCCAUAUACAGAAGUUGUGUAUGCCAAGUUAUGCAAGAAGAAAAGACAUCAUCAAUACAUGCCUUAAUCCUCAUUAGAUCGGCAUUAGUUCAUAGCAGUAGUGCAUGUGUACUUCAUGGUUUACAGUAUCUAUAAAUCUGUAUUUGAUGUAUUGUGUAUUCAAUGUGUUGGACUACUCCCUGCAUGUUCAAGUUGACGAUGAUGCCAAAUUGUUUUGUGACCUGACAUUUGCGGUGCAUUGUAUUAUAUCUUCAG